rnacentral:rRNA from 1 species
GUAGGUGGCAAGCGUUGUCCGGAAUUAUUGGGGCGUAAAGCGCGCGCAGGCGGUCCUUUAAGGUCUGAUGUGAAAGCCCACGGGCUCAACCGUGGAGGGUCAUUGGAAACUGGGGGACUUGAGUACAGAAGAGGAAAGCGGAAUUCCACGUGUAGCGGUGAAAUGCGUAGAGAUGUGGAGGAACACCAGUGGCGAAGGCGGCUUUCUGGUCUGUAACUGACGCUGAGGCGCGAAAGCGUGGGGAGCAAACAGGAUUAGAUACCCUGGUAGUCCACGCCGUAAACGAUGAGUGCUAAGUGUUAGAGGGUUUCCGCCCUUUAGUGCUGCAGCUAACGCAUUAAGCACUCCGCCUGGGGAGUACGGCCGCAAAGGCUG